CCGGUUGAUCCCGCCAGAGGCUACUGCCAUCAGAGUUCGAUUAAGCCAUGUUAGUCGAGGGUGCUUCUUCUUCGGAAGAAGUAACCCGGCGGACGGCUCAGUAACACGUGGAUAACUUGCCCUUGGGUCCGGGAUAACCCCUGAGAAAUUGGGGACAAUACCGGAUAGGGCAUCGAUAGCUGGAAUGCACGAUGUCCAAAAGCUGAGGCGCCCAAGGAUAGGUCUGCGGCUGAUUAGGUUGUUGUUGAUGUAAUGGAUCAACAAGCCUGCAAUCGGUACGGGUUGUGAGAGCAAGAGCCCGGAGAUGGGUUCUGAGAAAAGAACCCAGGUCCUACGGGACGCAUCAGGCGCGAAAACUUUACAAUGUGCGAAAGCACGAUAAGGGAACUCUGAGUGCCUCCUAUGGAGGCUGUUCAGGUGUCUAAAAAGCACUUGAAGUAAGGGCUGGGUAAGACCGGUGCCAGCCGCCGCGGUAACACCGGCAGCCCAAGUGGUAGCCACGAUUAUUGGGUCUAAAGCGUCCGUAGCCGGCCAGGUAAGUUCUUUGGGAAAUUUAACCGCUCAACGGUUAAGCUUUCAGGGAAUACUGCUUGGCUUGGGACCGGGAGAGGUCAGAGGUACUUC
rnacentral:rRNA from 1 species